GUGGGCGCACUCGAUCCCGGCU
rnacentral:miRNA from 1 species